GCUCCCAAGGAGCGUUGCAGCGCCCGCCACCCAUGGUGCGCCGGGCGUCAGGCUUGGGGGUCUCAACGGCGCUCAUUCCUU
rnacentral:ncRNA from 2 species